CCUGGCUGCUUAGCCAAGGAUCAUGGCCAUGGACUAGGAUCAGGAUGCAGGAGGCGCACAUUCAGGCUACUUGCAGCCCUAACCCACUCACCCCUGGGCCUGUGUGUGCUGAGGUCAGGAGACACAGCCACAUGUAUGACAGGUGUGUCUGUGAAGCUCCAAGCUACUCUGCCCACCUGCUCUCCUCCCAGCAGCACAGCAUCAGCCAGAGGUGGGCUCUGAGGCCUUCACCUCUGAAUCUUCCUGCAUUGAUCUCAGACAGGUGGGGUUAGGGGAGCCCAGCAGUGAAAGAACAGCCCCUGCCCAUCAGGGAGUUUUGAAUUCUCAAUGGGGAUGCUCAGCUGGGAAAGUUGACUCAAAGUUUCUAAAAUAUGAAAACCGCUGAAAUAUGAAACUCUUCUGGUCCCCACAUGUCAGGUCCAGUGCCCAGCAGCCUCCCAGCUCCCAGGAAUCACACACGGGCUUGGAGCUUCAUGGACCCAACUGACAGCCUCUGGCAUCAGAAUCAAAAUCACAAGGAACGCAUGUGCCUAAGUUCCUUCUCUUUCAAUUGAGCCUCGUCAUCCUAGCGACAAACAGGCCCUUUCCUUCUACAGUCCAGGAAAGUUAGUCUCACCCAUCCUGAUAAACCCUAGUGAUGUGUGCCCAGGGGAGAGGGAUAAGCUGUUUCCACCGCUCACGUUUGAUGUCAUGGUGAGCUGACCAAAGGACCUUGAGAGUCUGCCUUGGACUUAGAAAUGCUGUCUGUUCUUUUCUUUCUAUGGGCAAUUUAGGAAAACUUUUCUGAUCAAAGAGGAACUUCUAAAAUAUUGACAUCAAAUUCUGAAAUAAAAAAAAGAUCAGAAUGGA